rnacentral:lncRNA from 1 species
CGCUUGAUUUCUAGGGCCAAGGUUAGGCUCAAGAGUAAGGUUGUCUCAUUAACUCCUAAAAGUGAGCUUAGAUGGGCCCUUGGUUAUUCAAUAUCCCUGCAUAGUAUGGAUGGAGCCUAGCCCCUGACUCAGGGAAACUCUCAUUCCUGUAUGGGGAUCAGGUCAAUACCAGAAUGAGAAACCUCUGAGAGGGUCAUCUAUACAAAGAGCAUAUGCUCUGAUUCCUCCUGUUUCAAGAUGUGGCAUCACCAUAAACAUUCACUUCUUCCUUCCAGAAGAAAGACCCCUUUUUCCUCCUCACCUGGAACCCUGGAGUUUAUCUACAUCUGAAGGUCAAAUCAUCAUGUUUCACCAAGAAGAGUAAACGGAAAAAGAGAGGAAGGAAGAUUGAAAUAGGAACAAUGAUAAAGAUGACCACAAUUUGCCGGACAUGUCGUAGGUCAUUAAUGGCCAAACCAGAGAGAUGGUUCAUUCAUUGA